rnacentral:rRNA from 1 species
GAUGAACGCUGGCGGCGUGCCUAAUACAUGCAAGUCGAGCGAACAGACGAGGAGCUUGCUCCUCUGACGUUAGCGGCGGACGGGUGAGUAACACGUGGAUAACCUACCUAUAAGACUGGGAUAACUUCGGGAAACCGGAGCUAAUACCGGAUAAUAUAUUGAACCGCAUGGUUCAAUAGUGAAAGACGGUUUUGCUGUCACUUAUAGAUGGAUCCGCGCCGCAUUAGCUAGUUGGUAAGGUAACGGCUUACCAAGGCAACGAUGCGUAGCCGACCUGAGAGGGGGAUCGGCCACACUGGAGCUGAGACACGGUCCAGACUCCGACGGGAGGCAGCAGUAGGGAAUCUUCCGCAAUGGGCGAAAGCUUGACGGAGCAACGCAGCGUGAGUGAUGAAGGUCUUCGGAUCGUAAAACGCUGUUAUUAGGGAAGAACAAAUGUGUAAGUAACUAUGCACGUCUUGACGGUACCUAAGCAGAAAGCCACGGCUAACUACGU